rnacentral:misc_RNA from 1 species
AAGCUUGCUUGUGUAACUGUCGGAUAUAUAUAUAAACACGUGGACUUUCACGUGAAGAGAACUCGUAACAAAACAUCACUCACAUAACACUACAGGACAUAGCGAAGAGAAGAACGGUACAACAUGGAUCACAACAUUCCUUUGUUAGUGCUAACUGUCAUUAACCCGAUAGUAUACGCGGUGGCAACAAUAUUCAACGCUUUAUCCGGAGAUGUGGGAGUCAAACUAGGUAAGUUUUACUUGAUCUUGUAUUUUUUCAACACAGUUACAAUUAUAUAUCUUCUAUGAUAAUUGAGCGUAACAUUAAUGAUUUGAGUAUAAUUAUAUACUGUAGAUUCCUAAUUAACAGUAAUACGCGAGGAAUUAGUAUCCGCGUAAAAUCGCGGGAAGCGCCUUUUGCGAAUUUAAUUUUUAACAUCUUGCCAAUAUUUUCUGAGAGCUGAAAACUACAUGAAAUGAGGAUAAAAGUUCCGCGUUCGGAAUUUCAUAUUCGAGCGAUUUCAUUCAAAACAGUGGAUCGUGGAAUUAAGUACUCGCGUGAUAUAACGAAUUUACAGUAUUCAACAUUAAACAUUUAAAAAAAACAAACAUUUUUUUUUUCUACAGGGAUCUUCAAAAACAGCACGGGUACUAUUUCCGAUAAGUACCAGGUAAAUAUUACCCCCGCUGGAUGGAUGUUCAGUAUCUGGGGGGUGAUCUACGUGUGGGAGGCGGUCUGGAUCGUCUACACCAUCGUCAACUUGUUCCGGAAGACUUCCUCCGGCCCCCUGUACUGUAACCCCACCCUCCUUCCCUGGACAUUCUUCGUCUGUUUCAUGGUCAACAUGUGCCUGAAUCUGUCCUGGAUCCUCCUCUUUGACAGAGAACACAUGAUCGUCGCUUUCGUCGUCCUGUUCUUCAUCGCCUUCACUCUGUACGUCUGCAUGUUUAUUUCAUACCGCCAUCUUGACAAGAACAUCGAGUUUCUCAGGAAAGACGGCAGGAAGAUGGACAUCUGGUGUAUCCGCAUCAUGGUACAGAAUGGCCUCGGCGUGUAUGCUACCUGGACCACCAUUGCCACUCUCCUCAACAUGGCGAUCGUCAUGAUCUACGAAGGCAACCCACGGAUAGCCAAUGAUGACGCCAGCACCGUGGCUCUUUCCGUUCUAGUGGUCGAGCUCUUGGGAUACACCUUUGUAGAUAUUGCUUUCCUGGACCGUUAUACACGCUACACUGUCACCCCGUUUUGCGUGGUGCCCAUGGCCCUGGGGGCGAGUCUGGCCAAGAACUACAAGGCCGGGUCCAGAAACUCUAUCCUGACCAUUGUUAUGGUCGUUUUGGCGCUGUUGUGUCUGGGAGCCAAAGUGUUCUUUUUGAUUUGGCGCGAACUGAGGAGCCCAACGAAAUCCGUCAGAAUUACAGACUCCGACGAGGAUCUAAGGAAAGAAAAGGCGGCCGUCGUUUAAGUAUAUGAUGUAACAUUACAGAUGAACAAAAAAAAAAAAACGACACACCAAACAGUCUUUGUACAUAUUAACUACAACAUUUUUUAUAUUUGUAUGAGAGGAGAUUGAGAGCUGUGAUAUGACUUUAAGUGCAUGCAUAUACAUUGCCAAAAAACCAACGUCAUUAUAUUUGCCUUACGAGGAAACAUUUGUUGACCGAAAUGUUUUCUAUAGACAUCUGGCCUUCACUUAACUAGUUUUGUAUGAAUAUACGUUUACAUUUUUGGGCAUUAUUCAUGUAUAUAUUUUCAUUGCAAAAAGACUUAUUUUUGUGCCUCAUACGGAAGCAGUUGUUGACUGAUAACUAUUUCAUUUUUACUUUCACAGGUAGUUUGUAUGAAUAUACUUGCACUUCUUUUGGGCAUUAAUCACGUAGUCACACCGAUAAUAUGGAGAACGUUACUCAUUUAGCUCCAUUUACAUCAAAAGCAUAAUUCAGAUAUACAUGAAAUAUGUUAUACAUCUUUUGUACAUGUUGUAUCUUUUUAUCAUGUUGUAUUUUUUUUUUUCAAUUUUAAGAACUUUGUAUAUUUCUAUAAAACAUUUCAAAAUAAAAAAGUAAUGAAAU